rnacentral:rRNA from 1 species
AGGAUGAACGCUGGCGGCGUGCCUAACACAUGCAAGUCGAACGUCCUGUCUCGCAAGAGGCAGGGAGUGGCGGACGGGUGAGUACCACGUGGGUCAUCUACCGUGAGGUGAGGAAUACCGGCGAGAAAUCGCCGACAAGACCGCAUAGCCUCGGUGCAAGUCGAGGAAAGCUCUCUCGAGAGAGGGAGCGCCACACGAGGAGCCUGCGCCCGAUUAGCUAGCUGGUGGAGUAAUGGUUCACCAGGGCGACGAUCGGUAGCUGGUCUGAGAGGACGAUCAGCCACACUGGGAUUGAGAACGGCCCAGACUCCUACGGGGGGCAGCAGUGAGGAAUUUUCGUCAAUGGGGGCAACCCUGAACGAGCAACGCCGCGUGCAGGAAGAAGGUUUUCGGAUCGUAAACUGUCUUUUCGUCGGGGUAAGAGAACGGACGGUACCCGAGGAACUCAGCCUCGGCUAACUACGUGCCAGCAGCCGCGGU